rfam:Intestinimonas butyriciproducens strain AF211, complete genome.
AGAUGCGGAGAUAAAAACACAGGCAGGUUGGUAGUCCGGCCACGGCCCGCCGGGGACCGGUCCCGUCCCCCGGCGGCUGUCAGUAGCCCUCCCUCCCAUGGGUCGUCCAUUUUCCGCAGAUAUACU